UACGGGGGGGGCAAGCGUUGUUCGGAAUUACUGGGCGUAAAGGGCUCGUAGGUUGCCAACUAAGUCAGACGUGAAAUCCCUCGGCUUAACCGGGGAACUGCGUCUGAUACUGGAUGGCUUGAGUUCGGGAGAGGGAUGCGGAAUUCCAGGUGUAGCGGUGAAAUGCGUAGAUAUCUGGAGGAACACCGGUGGCGAAGGCGGCAUCCUGGACCGAUACUGACACUGAGGAGCGAAGGCCAGGGGAGCAAACGGG
rnacentral:rRNA from 1 species